rnacentral:rRNA from 1 species
UAUGUGAUCGUCUCUCGCAUAUCAAUAAGCGGAGGAAAAGAAACUAACAAGGAUUCCCCUAGUAACGGCGAGUGAAGCGGGAAGAGCUCAAAUUUGAAAUCUUAAAGGGUUUCCCUUUACGAAUUGUAGUUUAAAGAAGUGUUUUCUGUUGAGGUUUUGGUAAAAGUUCUUUGGAAUAGGACAUCAUAGAGGGUGAGAAUCCCGUAUUUGACCUUUACUUUCAACUUUGUGAUACACUUUCAAAGAGUCGGAUUGUUUGGGAAUGCAGUCCAAAAUGGGUGGUAAAUUUCAUCUAAAGCUAAAUAUUGGCGAGAGACCGAUAGCGAACAAGUACCGUGAGGGAAAGAUGAAAAGAACUUUGAAAAGAGAGUUAAACAGUACGUGAAAUUGUCAAAAGGGAAGCGUUUGACACCAGUGUUGCUUUUCUGAAAAUCAAUUAAAGAACUGUUUAUGCUAAGCUGUUUAGACUUUAUCAGCUAACUGUUUAGUUUUGAGCUUUUCUUUAAUGCACUUUUCAGUUAACAAGUCAACAUCAAUUUCUUUUGCUGUAAAAAAGCUUGAGGAAGGUGGCUUGAGAUUCGUCUUAAGUGUUUAUAGCCUCUUGCCUAUGCAGUCGGAGAGAUUGAGGUCUGCAGCGUAGAUCCUUCGGGGCUAAAUGCAUUUGUGCUAAGUUAUAGCAUUUUAUAGACAACUUGUUGACUAUGAUUUGUCUUGUAGCUUACUCGCUUAUGUUAUUUUACCUACGCUUAGGAUGUUGAUCUACAGAGCGAGAGU